rnacentral:rRNA from 1 species
AUUGAACGCUGGCGGCAUGCUUUACACAUGCAAGUCGAACGGUAACAGGCCGCAAGGUGCUGACGAGUGGCGAACGGGUGAGUAAUGCAUCGGAACGUGCCCAGUCGUGGGGGAUAACGCAGCGAAAGCUGUGCUAAUACCGCAUACUAUCUAUGGAUGAAAGCGGGGGACCGUAAGGCCUCGCGCGAUUGGAGCGGCCGAUGUCAGAUUAGGUAGGUGGUGGGGUAAAGGCCCACCAAGCCAACGAGCUGUAGCUGGUCUGAGAGGACGACCAGCCACACUGGGACUGAGACACGGCCCAGACUCCUACGGGAGGCAGCAGUGGGGAAUUUUGGACAAUGGGCGCAAGCCUGAUCCAGCAAUGCGGCGUGAAGGAAGAAGGCCUUCGGGUUGUAUACUGCUUUUGUACGGAACGAAAAGGUCUGCGUUAAUACCCUGGGCUGAUGACGGUACCGUAAGAAUAAGCACCGGCUAACUACGUGCCAGCCGCCGCCGUAAGAC